rnacentral:rRNA from 1 species
GACAGAGGGGGCAAGCGUUGCUCGGAAUUACUGGGCGUAAAGGGCGCGUAGGCGGGAUGGCAAGUCGGUCGUGAAAUCCCUCGGCUCAACCGAGGAACGUCGAUCGAUACUGCUGUUCUUGAGGAUUGCAGAGGAGACUGGAAUUCCCGGUGUAGCGGUGAAAUGUGUAGAGAUCGGGAGGAACACCGGUGGCGAAGGCGGGUCUCUGGGGCAAUU